rnacentral:rRNA from 1 species
UACGUAGGGUGCAAGCGUUAAUCGGAAUUACUGGGCGUAAAGCGUGCGCAGGCGGUUUUGUAAGUCUGAUGUGAAAUCCCCGGGCUCAACCUGGGAAUUGCAUUGGAGACUGCAAGGCUAGAAUCUGGCAGAGGGGGGUAGAAUUCCACGUGUAGCAGUGAAAUGCGUAGAGAUGUGGAGGAACACCGAUGGCGAAGGCAGCCCCCUGGGUCAAGAUUGACGCUCAUGCACGAAAGCGUGGGUAGCAAACAGG